GCAUCUCUCAGGGAACUCCUUCAAGACUGUUGGAAGACCAUUUCAGAUUUGAGGGAAAGAUUAAAAACAAGGAGGUCUGGGAAUGACUGAAGGGAUCUGACAGCAGUGCGGGAAGGAAGUAAUCACCAGAAUCCUUGGUGAGCAGAAGAGACUUCUCUUGAAAACCAUAAA